CCUACGGGAGGCAGCAGUGAGGAAUUUUCCGCAAUGGGCGAAAGCCUGACGGAGCAAUACCGCGUGAGGGAUGAAGGAUUUUGGUCUGUAAACCUCUUUUCUCAAGAAAGAAGUUCUGACGGUACUUGAGGAAUAAGCAUCGGCUAACUCCGUGCCAGCAGCCGCGGUAAUACGGGGGAUGCAAGCGUUAUCCGGAAUGAUUGGGCGUAAAGCGCCUGUAGGUUGUUUAUUAAGUCCGUUGUUAAAGCCUAGGGCUCAACCCUAGAAAAGCAAUGGAAACUAGUAGACUAGAGUAUGGCAGGGGUAGAGGGAAUUUCUAGUGUAGCGGUGAAAUGCGUAGAUAUUAGAAAGAACACCGGUGGCGAAAGCGCUCUACUGGACCAUUACUGACACUCAGAGGCGAAAGCUAGGGUAGCAAAAGGGAUUAGAUACCCCUGUAGUCCUAGCCGUAAACGAUGGAUACUAGAUGUUGUGCAUUAUGUACUAGUAUACGUAGACUACGUACGUUAACGUUACUACCGUCCCGGGGUACGGUACGUCGUCGCGAGGUAGGAACGUACAAAGAAGUUAGUACGGCGUGAGACGUGCCGAACGGACGACCGACGACGGGGAGGAGG
rnacentral:rRNA from 1 species